rnacentral:rRNA from 1 species
GUGGGGAAUCUUGCGCAAUGGGCGAAAGCCUGACGCAGCCAUGCCGCGUGAAUGAUGAAGGUCUUAGGAUUGUAAAAUUCUUUCACCGGGGACGAUAAUGACGGUACCCGGAGAAGAAGCCCCGGCUAACUUCGUGCCAGCAGCCGCGGUAAUACGAAGGGGGCUAGCGUUGCUCGGAAUUACUGGGCGUAAAGGGCGCGUAGGCGGACAGUUUAGUCAGAGGUGGAAGCCCAGGGCUCAACCUUGGAAUUGCCUUUGAUACUGGCUGUCUUGAGUACGGGAGAGGUGAGUGGAACUCCGAGUGUAGAGGUGAAAUUCGUAGAUAUUCGGAAGAACACCAGUGGCUAAGGCGACUCACUGGCCCGUUACUGACGCUGAGGCGCGAAAGCGUGGGGAGCAAACAGGAUUAGAAACCCGGGUAGUCC